rnacentral:rRNA from 1 species
CCUACGGGUGGCAGCAGUGGGGAAUAUUGCGCAAUGGGCGAAAGCCUGACGCAGCGACGCCGCGUGAGGGAUGAAGGUCUUCGGAUCGUAAACCUCUGUCAGCAGGGAAGAACGGUCACUGUGCUAAUCAGCCGUGAAUUGACGGUACCUGCAAAGGAAGCACCGGCUAACUCCGUGCCAGCAGCCGCGGUAAUACGGAGGGUGCGAGCGUUAAUCGGAGUUACUGGGCGUAAAGCGCUCGUAGGCGGUAUGUCAAGUCAAUGGUGAAAUCCCCGGGCUCAACGUGGGAACUGCCUGUGAAACUGGCAAACUGGAGUGUGUGAGAGGAUAGUAGAAUUCCAGGUGUAGGGGUGAAAUGCGUAGAUAUCUGGAGGAACAUCAGUGGCGAAGGCGACUAUCUGGCACGUAACUGACGCUGAGGUGCGAAAGCGUGGGUAGCAAACAGGAUUAGAUACCCUAGUAGUC